ensembl:lncRNA
UCUGCCUUUUCUUUUGGUCCAUUGGGAGCUCCUUAUCCUUCCACAUAUCUUCAUCACUCAAGCUCUCUACGUCAAUGUCAUCGCUGUCACGUGCCUGGAUUAAUUUAUUGGCCACUUUGGCUUUCUUCCCCUUCUCCUCCCUCUCUCUUUGUGUUAUCUGCUCCAGCUCUCUCCUUGUCUUCUCUUGCAUCUCUUUUUUCUUUCUCUCCUCUUCUCUUAGUUUGGCCCUUUCCUUUUCUCUCAGCCUCUCCUCCUGUUCCUUUCUCUCCAUUUCUGCUUCCAUCCCUCUCUUCCUCCUUUCGUCCUCUUUCAGUUGUUCCAUCAUGGCUUUCCUCUUGCUCUCCUCUUCUUUCAGUCUCACAGUUUUCAUUUCUCGCUGUGUCUCCACUUUUAGCUGUCUUGAUUUGUUCUCCUCUUCCAAUCUCCUUUCUUUUUCUCUAUCUAUUUUGGUCGUUCCAUUGUCCUUCAGGAAGAGCAAGUCUAGGUCUACACUGGCCUCCUCAGUUUCCUUCCAGUCUUCUUCUGAUCCAUCCUCAGUGUCUUCAAAGGAUAGUCCCAUGGACUUCCACAGCUGGGAGGUCUCCUCCUGUAUUUUCUCACUCCCCUCUUGUCUCUCCUUUCCUUUUUGCCUCUGGUCCUCAUGUCCCUCCCUCUCCAUUUCUUUGUGUAUUUCAAUUUUUACCUCUUUUUUUCGCUCCAUCUCCACUCUCACUUUCUCAAUCUCCUCUCUCUUUCUCACUAUAUCUGCUUUAGCUCUCUCCAUGUCUAUCCUUCUUUCCUGUUCCUCUCUUUUUUGCUCUGUCUCCACUCUCACUUUCUCAAUAUCCUGUCUUCUUUUUUCUAUCGCCUGUUUCUCCCUCUCCAUUUCUUUGUAUCUUUCCAUCUCUGAUCUCCUUCUCUCCACUUCCUUGUUUCUCCACUUUUGCUCCAUCUCCUCUCUCUUUCUCACCAUCUCUGCUUCAGCUUUCUCCAUCUCUAUCCUUCUUUCCUGUUCCUGUCUUUUUUGCUUUUCCUCCAUCCUCACUUUCUCAAUCUCCUUUCCCUUCCUCUCCAUCUCUGCUCUCCUCACCACUUCCUCUUUUCUUAGAAUCUCAUCUUUUAUUAGCUUCACUUCCUUCUCCAGUCUCCCCACCUCCUUCCUUGUUCUCUCCAGCUCCAUCCUUCUUCUCUCCAUCUCACUCUUUCUCUCUAUCCCUGUUAGCCCCCUGUUCAUCUCCAUCCUCACCUUCGCU